rnacentral:rRNA from 1 species
GGUUGGUGGUGCAUGGCCGUUCUUAGUUCGUGGAGCGAUCUGUCUGGUUAAUUCCGAUAACGAACGAGAUUCUUGCCUGCUAAAUAGACGGCGCCGACCUCGCGCGGCGACCGUUCGCUUCUUAGAGGGACAAGCGGCUUUUAGCCGCGUGAAGCUGAGAGCAAUAACAGGUCAGUGAUGCCCUCAGAUGUUCGGGGCCGCACGCGCGCUACACUGUUUGCAUCAGCGUGUUUCUCCCGCGCCGAUCGGCGUGGGCAACCCGUUGAACCGCAAACGUGCUAGGGAUCGGAGAUUGCAAUUUUUCUCCGUGAACGAGGAAUUCCUUGUACUGGCGAGUCAUCAGCUCGCGGGGAAUCUGUCCCUGCCCUUUGUACACACCGCCCGUCGCUACUACCGAUUGAGUGGUUUAGUGAGGCUCACGGACUGCGAGCGGCACCCGUCGGCCUCGGCCGUCAACGGCGUCGCGAGCGGAAAGUGAGACGAACUUGAUCACUUCUAGGAAGUAAAA